UUGGGUUAAUACUUGGAUUUCAGAGAGUGAUAUCUUGCGAAUCAGGAUCCCAAAGUGUUGACUUGAUUGGGCCUGUCAAGUGGGAGUUCUCCUCAUCAAAGUCUCCCUUUGUCUGCUGGUUUCUCCUGUGUUCGCAGGUGAAGUCAGGUUGAGUUCAGAUUAGCCAAAACCCAUAGCGUACAUGGCCACACCAGCAACAACCUAAGCCGUGCAGAUGAUCAUUACCAUGUUAUUUGCUCCAGUGUCGCACUUAUUUUCUUCGUCAUCUUUUUCUGUCUUCCUUGUGACGGAACAAAAUGGUUCAGGGUUUGAAACUUUAAACGAGAGGUCAUGCGUAAAACUGGUUUUAUUGAUCAGGUCGACCUGUUUCUAUGAACUACAGUCCUGAAUAAUAUUGACACUAAAAUGCAGCAGUGAACCAACAGUAUCUAGACCUUCUGAUGGAAGGAGCAGCAUAAGUUUUCAGAAGGUUCACAUGGGAGUAUUAUUUCACAAUGUAGCAGUGCACACCAUGUCUGUUCUCUUCUAAAAUGACAUCACUGUAAUAAAUUAUCUAUGGGGAAUGAGUAAGAAAUCAGGGUGUUUAAAAGCACUGUAUUUUGUUAUGUUAGACUCAGUUUUACCGUCGAUAGUAUAUAAGUUUGUUGUUCAUUGCCCAUAGAAAGUGAUAUCAACACUUUGACAGGUUUUCUGGUUAUUAUUUCUUGUAGUAAAUAAUAAUUCGGCUUUAAACUCUUGCAAAGGAGCAUUGGUUUUAUUAGCAUUGAAAUAUUAUAUUUCAUUUUUAUUUUCUU